rnacentral:rRNA from 1 species
UACGAAGGGUGCUAGCGUUACUCGGAUUUACUGGGCGUAAAGGGCGCGUAGGCGGAUGGUAGAGUCAGACGUGAAAUUCCUGGGCUCAACCUGGGGGCUGCGUUUGAUACGUGCUGUCUGGAGUUCGGAAGAGGGUCGUGGAAUUCCCAGUGUAGAGGUGAAAUUCGUAGAUAUUGGGAAGAACACCGGUGGCGAAGGCGGCGACCUGGUCCGAUACUGACGCUGAGGCGCGAAAGCGUGGGGAGCAAACAGG